ACAGAGUGGAUAACAAGGAAGGCAAAUUAGAGCAACAGUAGGAUGGCCUGAAGCCAUUGCCUCAACAAGCAGGCUGUUUAUCAGGGUGUUAUCUCCCUACUGAGUGGGUGUCAAAUGGAAGUACAGAGGGUAUUUGGUGAAUAGAACUGCGGAAAUACUGAACUACCCAACUACCUCUUCAUGCUUGAAUCUCAAAAGUGCUUUACAAAGGAGUGGAGGACCGGAGUCAACGGGAGAGCGAUCGGCAGUCAACUACACCCACUAAAUCAACCCCCGGUGUAUUGAUUUCCGAACAUCGAUCCCCCAGUAAGUGGAGACAAGCCCUUAGAGUGUCUUCACCAGAAGCGUUACAGCUACAUCAGUACAGUUGCACCGCUCUAGCUGCUGUAGUGUCGACACUGCCUACAUAGUCCACUCCACUCUCUUCAGACACAGCAAGAGCCAUCAAAGACAGCAGUGUGAGUGAGUGUGUGGCGGGAACAUGGAUAGGACACACCCGAUAUAUUUGCCUAGUCUGAGUGCUGGGCAUCCAUGCCCUACCACUAGUCCCCAGCUUUAGAGAGGAGAAAAAUACAGUUUACAAAGAACAUCUUUAAAGGUUCAGGUACUUAAAGAUGCUUAAACUAAAUAGUCACUGGUCUGUCUGAUGUGGUUCAGUGAAAACUCCAGGGGCUGUUGCUCACUGGACUUUACCUUGAGAUAGAAGUUCAGACUCAGCCAUGCAAGAUAAAUACACACAUGGUGAGAGAGACCCAUCCACUUCUGAGGGAGGGACAGCUGAACAGGGCAGAAGAAAUAUGGAAUAGGUUACACCAGAAGAGAACCCAAUGGUAUCAGACCUUUUCCUCAAGCUCAAAUAUGAAAACCCUGGAUGCAGAGUUGGAAUAUAUAAAGGACCUACUGCAUACUACACUAGAGAAAUAAGUCAGGCCACUCUCUUACUUCAGAACCUGGUCCCUCUGAGACCUUACUAUGUGCCUUCCUCCAGACUUAUGAAAGUGCAAGGAGUCCACUCUGGGCCAUCAGCAAGUCACAUCCUCAGUAAGUGGUACCUGA